rnacentral:lncRNA from 1 species
UCUUCGUGGGAUUACCAGGAUCUCCGCAAGCUGCAGGAAGUGGGUAUGCUAACUCCACCCAGAUUUGCAAAGAAAUUCUUCCUGAGAUAAAGAAAUCAGCAAAGUAUGGCGGCGUAAUGAUUUGGUUACAAAAUCAGUCCCGAGAUCAUUAACUGCAUGAAGGAAUCAAGCCUGAUCAAAUCUGUCGCUGAGUAUUAAUGCACCACCUGAGUAAUAAUGUGAAAUAAAAUUAAGCAUCAUCAGAUUAAUUAUCACGAUCAUAUGAAGUUUGUAGUGAUCUCAUGGGGAAAUUUACUAUCAUAAGACCCCUCCAUGUAUUACUUACAUAUAAUAUAUUAGUACUUUGAUUCCCAUGUCCCAUAUACUUACUUACGUACAUUAUACUAUCUAUAUAUAUAUAUAUAUAUUUGAAAACUCUCAUUUUAGAUAUGAUUUAACAUUGCUAAUAAGAAUAAAGACUUACAUAUUUUUUGGUAUCUACACUUUUUGCUUUAUUUAAUUUUGUUUUUUAUACAAUUUUUUUUUCUUCGUUUGGUCCUUGUACUUUUAAAAACUAUUCGUAUUUACCCAUAUUUAUUAGUUUUUGUUAUCUCCGUUAAUUUAUUUAUUAUGUAUCAUCAGAAUUAACAUACGAUAUAAUUUAUUUAUUAUAUAUUUGUCAUUAUACAGGAAUAUAUAUAUAUAUCUUGGCAUCUAAAAAUUUCUGAAUAAUUUCUGAGUAUUUGAUCCUAUGUAUAAUAAUUUAUUUUAAUCAACUCUGACUAUCUAUAUUUUAACAGUAAUAUAAGAUCAUAAUUGAUAUUUAAUUUGGAAACAAAAUUGAGGAUUAUGAAAUCUAAUAGUUUGGUGUCUAAAACAAAAAUGACUAAAGUAAUCUUAGCAUAAACGUAAAUACUCAUCGUAUCGGUAGCUGAAUGAUAAUCUUUUCGACUAUUGGUUGGAUUAUUCGGACGAAGAAAAUGAAACCCUCUUCAAAAGUGAUAAGAACGAUAACAUCUCUUACAACUCUUUCGUUAUUGGUACUACUUCAAAGUACUAGAAAAUUUAAAAAUUUUAUCGUAAUUUGAUAGAGCAAAUUACUCCCACGAGAUAUUUUUUAGUGGGUCGAAAGAAUCUCUUUCUAAAUAGUUUAAGUUUGAUACACAUACUCCGAACGUGGUGACUCGGGCAUGAGUAUAAUUUUAAUUUCUUAAUUUUUUUUUGCUAUUUUUCACAGAAAAAUAAGAAACUAAAGAUGAGGGGCUGGUGCAAAUGUAGGUAGGAGAAUUAAGAAAGUGAAGAUCAACAAGGAUCAAUUGGGUUCGCGCCACGUGUCAAAAUAAUAAAUGGAUUGGAACUGUUUCAUGGAUUUACGUUAACUAUUAGAAUAUUUUUUUUGUUUUGAAAGUUUGUAAUUCAUAUAUGUUUGCUUACAAAAUUUUAUAUUAUUAUUUAGAAAAUUAUACAUCAAAUACUGGCAGGACAUGAACAGAGUACGUGGUUUGAACAUAUGAUUCACAUCUAUAAAUAGCUAGCGGAGAAGUUGAUGAAAACCCAACAAACAAAACCAAAACAAAAUGGCAAUUAACAUUAAACCUACAGCCACUCUUCUUCUUCUUCUUCCUCUCCUAGCAUUAUUCCAAACCUGCCAUGGCGAAUCACCUGGCAUAGCCGUCUACUGGGGUCAAGACGGUCGCGAAGGAACCCUAGCACAGGCUUGUAAUAGCGGCCUCUAUUCCUAUAUCAUCAUAGCUUUCAUUUUCGAGUACGGUGGCCACCAACCCCCUUCCGUCAACCUUGCCGGUCACUGCACUCCGUCCAUCAACAAUUGCAAGUUCAUCGGCCCAGAGAUCACCACUUGCCAAAACCUAGGAAUCAAGGUCUUAAUCUCCAUUGGUGGAGCAAGUGGUCAGCGCCAUUCCCUCACCGAUGUUGGUGAUGCGAAAUAUCUCGCCGAUUAUAUUUACAAUAAUUUCUUGGGUGGAUCCGCUCCCGACCGUCUGUUCGGAGAUGCUAUAAUAGAUGGCGUUGAUUUCGACAUGGAGUCGCCAAGUUCAUAUCUUGACGAUCUUGCUAGGUACCUGCAUGAAUAUAGUACACCGCAACGAAAGGUGUAUCUAUCGGCGGCUCCACAGUGUCCCUUCCCUGAUGCAAACAUUGGAGCUGCACUUAACACAGGACUGUUCGACUAUGUUUGGAUUCAGUUUUACAACAAUCCUCCAUGUCAAUAUAAUGGGAAUAGUAAAAAUCUUAUUGCAUCAUGGAAUGUAUGGACGUCGAAUAUAAAUGCACGAUAUUUCUUCGUGGGAUUACCAGGAUCUCCUCAAGCUGCAGGAAGUGGGUUUGCUACCCCCACCCAGAUUUGCAACGAAAUUCUUCCUGAAAUAAAGAAAUCACCAAAGUAUGGCGGCGUAAUGAUUUGGUCAAGGUAUUGGGACAAAAUCAGUCCAGAUAUUAUUAACUGCGUGAAGGGAUCAAGCCUGAUCAAAUCUGUCGCUGAGUAUUAAUCCACCACCUGAGUAAUAUUGUUAAAUAAA